rnacentral:lncRNA from 1 species
UGAACAUGUCGACUAUGUCCCUGCUGUCCAUGAAUAUCCAAAGGUCACCCGAGUUUACUCUCUUGAGGUUGUUCCGACAGAACGGGCAGGACUGCGAUCUCGUCCGCCUGUAAUGUCACAAUGAGGCCACGUUAGAGAAUUUUCACACAAACCCUGCAGUUAAUGAAUAGUCCCAGCAAAACCAGAACGGCAACACUAGAGUAAAAGAUCAAAGUUUUUCUAGCAUCUGAUCUUUCUUACAUGACGCGGCCAAAUGAAUCAUAUAACUGGAUAACCUAACUUGACAAUGGACUGUAGUGAAAAAUCAAACAAGAUUAGAGAACCGAGAAGUACUGUAUGACAACUUAUAUGAACCCCCCUUGUUGAUUGUUGGCAGAUAGCAAAUAAUUCACCGGAGGUUCCAUUUUAACCAUCCAAACUACAAUACAAAUGCAAAAACUCUAUGACAAGUAGCAAUUAUAAUAAUAAAUAAACGUCCAUGACCCAAUGAGGGUGAAAAAAACAAACUAAUUUUAGAGUAGCUUACACCGGUAAGGAGGUUUUAGACCAAAAAAAAAAAAAAAACACAGAGAGAGAGACAACCUGUAAGGAGAUUUCAAAAUGCUUUAACAAGAACUGGUGACUUCAUUAAGGUUAUUCAACUUCAAUAGGGAAUUAGCAAAUUUGAACUCCCAUCAACUAUCAGAGAUUGCCAGCAAUAUCUUUGAAGACUUAAAUCUGACUUUAUUACUGAAAGAAGAUUUAUGUGUAUGCAUUAUAGAGGUGGUUAUGGAGGGCGAUGGCAAAAUUGGUAUUUACUGAAAAGGAAAAACCAUUUCAGACGCUCAAAUCAAAUCCAAUUUUGCAUAACUUUUACACAUCCCUCGUCACUUAUUAGUCUCGUCAUUCUUAAUUUUGCAACUGUAAGUCCAGGCAAUAAGUGUCCACACAAGACAAAUUGACAAAUAUAAAUUCACACAAAGUGCAAGAAACAACAAAAACAUGGUUCUCUCUUCACUUUUUUCCAGCGAGCAGAAACCCAAGCUUAUCAUAUGUCCCAACCUCCACCCACAUAAAAAUUCGAACACGAAAGAUCAUCAACUGGGCUUCACUGAAAUGCUCCCAAUACUCUCAUAGGAUGCAGCUCCCUUUGCACAUGAUUUAUUGAUCCAUGCUAGUAUGUAUCCAUGGGUGCACACAACUAACAACUCCCCAAAGUCCCUGCUAAUGGUAUAUGCAAGAAUCUGACUAGUUCUUACCUCAUAGGAUCUGUAACUGGGUUGGAGAAACAAGAAAUAGUUAAAAGCAGUCCCCCACCAAAUCCUCAAUAUCUGCUAACUUUCUGGGAAGCUUGAUUAGUACUAUCUAAGGAAGGCCGACAUUGCCCCACUCUAAGACUGCCUGCCAUUUUCAAACAACUAUUGAUCUUUAAAAGCAACUGCUCUCUAAAUAAAGAAAGUCACCAGAUUGCCAAUUCUCUAAAGCACCCUGUCCACUUCGUCAACCCGCUUUCCCACAUUUCCUACCAUGCAAAGCUGCAAAUCCUAGUGGACAUACAUCAAACUUCUAAAAUUUCUGAUCGCACAUAUGCACUGAAAAGGACACAAGACAGAUAUAGAAUGUUAUACAACUGGACACGAAAGACUGGGAAGGCUGGGAUCAGAUAGAGGUAGUGCACAAUUUAUUGCUAUGGUGAAAUCGCUUGGUCUAAUGUAACUAUUCAUUAAGUGAGCUCAUGCAAAUAUUUCUCCUAUUUUGCAGAUGAAGAACUUGAGAGUUCUAGAUCUUACAGGUUGUGCUGACUUAUUAGUCACUCCUAAGUUCUCUGGCUGCAAAAAUCUGGCCAUAUUGAUUUUGGAGCGAUGUUCUCAGUUGGUCAAGAUAGAUCAUUCCAUCAGUGAUUUAAAGUGCUUGGUCUCCCUGAAUUUGAAGUUCUGCAUAGAACUCAGCAGGUUGCCGGUAGAAAUGGGUCACCUAACAGCUUUGAAAGAGCUCCUCAUCGACGGGACUUCAGUACAAGAAAUUCCCAUCUCCAUUUGUCAUUUAAAGCAGCUGGAAACUCUGACUGCCUCAAACUGCUUCUCAUUGAGUCAACUACCCAGAACAAUGUCACAUGACAACUAUCAUACUUCUUUCCCUGGAUGGCUCCAGGAUUGCAGCACUUCCAGAUUCCAUUGGAGAACUAGUCUGUCUUAAACACUUGUCAUUAAGGGAUUGCCGUUGACUAAGAAGACUUCCAAGCUCCAUUGGCAACAUAGGAAGAUCAUUAGUCGAGUUAGACAUGUCGGGGACAAGGUUGUCCAAGUUUCCAGAUUCGAUAAAAAAAUCUGCAGAAUUUGAAGGUGCUGAGAAUGGAUUCUUGUUUCUUUAGGCCCUGUUUGGUAACCAUCCAAACAUGGCCAAAUUCUGAUUCUUUGUUCCCAGAAUCAGUUUGGGCCUAGAAUCGCGUUUGGUAAAAAAGUUGAUUCUUGUUCCGGGAACAAAUUUGAGAAUCAAAACCAACAACUCUUCUUCUUUCCUUCGGCCAUCUUGUGACCGCCGUCCACCACCGCCCGCCGCCAUCCGCCGCCGGUUCGGCGAGCUUGCCGGAGGCUCACCGGGCUAGGGCGAGGUCCGGCGAGUUUGGCCAUCUAGCGACCGCCGUCCACCACCGCCCGCCGCCAUCCGCCGCCCGCCGCCGUCUGCCGCCGGUCCGGCGAGCUUGCUGGAGGCUCACUGGGCCAGGGUGAGGUCCGGCGAGCUCGCCGGUGGCCAGGUAGGCCUCGCCGGGGCUGGGCGAGGCCCCCCUAGCCCCGGCGAGGCCGAGCCUCGCCUAGCUGCCGGCGAGGCUCGGUCAACGAGGGCCGGCCUCGUUGAGGGCCGGCGACGCUCCGGUGAGGUCGUCAGCCCUCGUCUGGCCGGUCGCCACAAGAAGAAGAAGAAGAAUAGGAGAAAAAGGAAAAAUAGAAAAGAAAAAAAGUAAAAAAGUAAAAAAAUUAUUUAAAAAUUAAAAGAAAUUAAUUUGGAACAUAAUUAAUGAGUACGGUACCAAACGCAAUUCUAUUCCAGAACUAGAAAUUUUGGACAGUUACCAAACGGCUUAAAAUGCUUAGAAUCAGUUCCCAGAAACAUAAUAAAAAAUAAUCAUUUCUGAUUAGAAUCUAUUCCCGGGAACAGAAUCAUUACCAAACACGCCCUUAGUGAGUUCCCUCCUGAUAUUGGAGAGCUGACCAACCUCAAAGAGAUACACGCCUCCUCGUGUUGAAGUAUCGAGAGGGGCAUUCCUGACAACAUCACGAAACUGCAUAAUCUGAGAAUCUUGAGGCUACGACAUUCGAGUAUUUCAAGCAUACCCACAGAGAUCCACCAACUUUCCAAACUUCAAAUCCUCGAUUUACUUCACUGCAACAUGAUCAAAGAGUUGCCCAGAUUUCCCUCUAGCAUAACGGUUUUGUAUGUAGAGGAUGAACUUAAGUCAUCGCAUCUGCCAUAGCUAGGAAAGCUAUGACAAUGUGAUGAAGACUAGGCUCCAAAGACCAUGGAGGAAUGAUGGCCUUUCCAUUUACUUCAUGUUUUCAUUCCAAAUUUGAAUAUGAAUAUCACCAAGAACUUUAUGCGUAUGUAUAUAUACCAUAUUCAAGUAUUACAGAAACUAAGAGAUGCACAAUUAAUAAAUGGGGUUAACAUCACGAAAAAUCCUAAAUUAGUACACCUGUAACAAAUUUACCCAAAAUUAAUUUUUUUAUCACAAAAACCCCAAAUCGGUACAUUUAUGUCAAAUUUACUCUCCGUUAAUUUCCAUUAAAUAGGAUUAAUUCCACGAAAAAUCACAAAUCAAUACACUUAUGACAAGUAGAGGGUAAAAUCCCAAGCCGGUGCACCCGUCAACUAUCACAUGUCGUCCAACUCAACAAUUUGAUGGUAAAAUUUAAUGAAAAUGAAUGAAAAGUAAAUAAGGUAUACUAGUCUAGGAUUUUUUUGUAGUAAAAGAAUUAGUUUUAGGUAAGUUUAUUAUAAAUAUGCCAAUUUAGAGUUUUUGGUAAUAUUAACCCUAAUAAAUAUUACACAAUCAACUCACAUUUAGUGCGAUUCUAUUUCUCAUUCUCAAGACUCCCUCUCAAGCUGGGGCAUAAAUAUCAUGUAUGGCAAAUACACACACAGAUACUUGACUCAGGGACUACGUAGAGCUUCAAUGAAUACAUCGGCUACCGAUCAUUAGUUUUUAAAAACGCAGUCUUGAUUUCCCAAGAUAAUAGCAUUUUUCCAAAAAAAUGAUUGUCAACCUCUAUAUGCUUUGUCCUCUCAUAAAAAACAGGAUUCAAAGCAACACGUAUUGCUGCUUGAUUAUCACAAAACAACGCCAUCAACUGCAACUGCGUCAUACCCAAGCUUCAACUCAUACGUACCAACUCCUCGAAAUGUAUUUCCAAUUCUGAAUUUGUCUGAAGAAGCCGGGAAAUAGGCCAGCUACAGACUCGUCUUCAUUAACAGCAAUAUCAAGCAUGAGAGGUUUCAAAAGACUGGUCAGUACCUCAUCAAUCAUACUAGGACCUCUCUUUUCUUCCAUCCCCCAUAUUGAAGGUGAUGUGAACAGCAACACCUUAUAACGCUGAUCACUUAUCAAAUGGCAUAUUUAACAAUGAAACUCUUCUCCAUGAUCUCUCCUUUUCUUUCAAAAAACCUCCAUAUCCAUUUGCCUAAAAGAGCUUGAAGAACAAACCAUUUUCUUCUGGUAGCCAGUCCCCAUCUGAAUAUAAGAACAAAUUGAAGUCCAGUGGAUUCGAUGAAAACUGGACGUAUCAUCAUCAGGUCUCCUGACGACGGAAAUCUCUUUGCAAAUUCUCUACUAUGUUUGCAACAUAGGAACUGAAAGAAGUGACAAAAAGUUAGUAGAUUAGUCUCGACAAAAAGCCCUCAAUAAUAAUAAUUAUUCUAACCCUUUCGGACAAAAACCUCAUCCAACUGGCCAGCUUCCCUCCAUUCUUCUCAAUGAUUCCCUUUCAAACAGAUUCACAAUUCAAAUGGGAACCUACCAGCAAUCACAAUAAGCUAUUUGAACAGCGUCCAUAUGUGCAGCCAAUAACUCCAGCUAGGUUAGACACCUCAACCAUCACUGUGUUUCAAACAAAAAUAGUGUCCUUUAGUAUACAAUGCACCAAGGGAGACAUACUCCGCAUCAAUGGAAGUGGGUCAUAAUUCUUUUGACUCGCAGAAGUCAAGAGUUUCAAAGACCAUAGUGCUUGUUCAUUAGCUCCAAACAGCUAUAUUUCUCAUAUUUGCAAUCUUUCUGUUUCUCCAAUUUGCUCAGAGAUAAUGCUGCCAGGAUGCUACAGGAUCCUGGUAAAACAAGAAAUAGCCUCAGAAUCUACAUUAUACAGGCACAGAAUCUUUUUAUGAGCAAUCAUAAAGGUGAUAGAGAGCUCUCAUCUAUUUAAUCAUGCCCAUUUUGUCAAAGCGUGCCUAGUGACCAAGAAGUCUCUUGAAGAUGUAAUGGAAUCUCUUUAAUCAAUGGGAGAGUUAAAUUACCAAAAAUUCUGAAGGAACAAGAUACCAAAAGUACUUAUUCAUAAUGAAGCUCCACGCACCCACCAAAGACAAAGAUAGAUCAGAAAACUUUCUAUUAAAGUAAGGUAUGGCCAACUUCUUAUGAACUAGAAGCUUAUUUUCUGAAAUGCAUGAAAAAUAAAGUGGAACUGUUGUCAAGCAUAUAAAAUAAGCAUACUGGGGUGAAGGAUAUACAAUAAGUCCAUGACCAUCAUGAAAUCAUGACAUUUGUAUCAAAUAGAAAAUAAUAAGCAUCUACAGUGUCGGUAGAAACAGUAACAAGCAGAAUUAACUCUGACCUUCGAUCAUGUCCUUAUAGUCUUGUCUGCUUCUUUCAUUGUUCUCUAAUCAAUUCAGGCAAUAAGUCAGCAGCCUCUUUCCCUUUCUCCUAAUGCACAAAUCCUUCUACAAUUGCCUUCCAUGUUUCCUCGUCCAGAGUACAUCCAUCACCCAUCAUUUCCUCGAACACUUGAGCAGCUUUAUCUAUAUCUCCUUUCCUAAAGAAAUAUCGAACAAGAGUACUGAAAGUCAAAGCAUCAACAGAAAUUCCCCUGGCCCGCAUGCUUAGGUAAAGCUGAUAAGCACGAUUUAUUUCACCAUGACCAGCAAGGCCUUGAACAACUGCAUUGUGGAUUCUGACAUGAAUAGACCAAGUUAAACGAUUGGGAGAGAUUCCUUCUAGUAUCAUCUCAUCAAGGGAGUUGGCAGCCCCCUGAAAUUUGCACUUGUCGCAAAAGCCAGCAAUGAUCUUGCCAUAUAGUCCCGCAUCUGGUUUCAAACCCUGAAGCUUCAUCCUGUCAAGAGUCUCCAAAGCUUCAUAAACUUUCCCUUCUUUACAGAGCCCAUGGAUUAAAGUGCUGUAAGUUAUCAUAUUGGGCCUCAGCCGUUUCCUAACCAUCAUGUCCAAAAGCUCCAUUGCUUGAGAAGAACACCCACUCUUGCAAAAUCCAUCCCUUAAUGAACUGAAAGUAAACACAUUAGGCUCAAUACCUUUGCCCAUCAUCUGUUCAAACAAUCCAAAAGCUUCAUUUAAAUUCUCAGAUUGACGGAGACCGUGAAUCAUUGAAGUGUAGGUGAUUACACUAGGUGAACAACCUUUUGUCUCCAUCUCUUCAAACAAUUUCCUGGCAUCACCAAUUUUCCCCCAUUUACACAAUCCAUUUAUCAAAGUACCAUAUGUAUAUGAAUCUGGAAUAUAUCCACAAUUUGGCAUCUCAUAAAAUAUCUGAAGGGCAGAAUCCAUCGUUCCACUAUUCUUGCACAAAGCUUUGAUCAAAACAUUGAGGGAAGCAACCGUAGGCGAUACACCAAUCGCCCUCAUGUGUUUAUAAAAUCUAAGAGCUAGUUUCAAUUGGUUUUCCUCAACAAGUAUAUCCAAAAUAGUGACGUAUGAUUUGGGUGAAGGUUUGCAUUGGAAGCGCUUCAUCCUCUGGAAUACCCUCAAUGAAUCCAGCAGCCUGUGAACCCGCCCGUAGCCUCUGCAGAUAGAGAGAAAUAUGUCUUCUGUAAGAUUACAUUGCUCUUCUUUCAUUCUCUGAAGAAGCUCUUCCACUGUCCAGAACUGAUUUGCAGAGACCAAUUUCAAUAUGAUAAGACUGAAGGUUUUCUCAUCAUGACGAAAACCAUUGCUAUACUCUGCUGUUGCCGAAUCAAAGAUCAGCAUUGCCCUCUGUACAUCCCUUUCAGCCCUAAUAAGCUGCUCUACUUGGGACGUCGUAAUUUUAUUAGACCAUUUGAUUCUACUGGCCAUUGCAGCAAACUUUUUAGCCUGAUCGUAGCUCAGGCGAAAUUGAAAAAAUGCGCUGACCUCCGCUCACAAAGAGAUGAUCCACAUUGGGCUUUCAGCAGAAUGAAUGAGCCAGGUAACAAUCAUCCAAUAACUGUGCCGGUCACCAUGAACGCAGUAAAUCUGCAUCAAACAAAGAAUUUUAUUUCUCCCACAUAUAACUUACCAAGAUUUUACAAUCAAUGAAGGAAGAAAAAUCAUGCAGACAAGAGGAAAAAAAAAACAUAUUUCCGCCUAACCGAUCUCUUAAAAGGGAAAAGCAAGAAGAGGGUGCAAUCACAACUCCCAAGAUACACACGCAUCUUCCACUCAUCAUUAAGCAGCCCGAAAAACAAUCUAAUCUAGCAAUAAAAGCAAAUGCAGCGAAAGCUCGACAAGAAAUUUUUAUCGCGGUUCGCUUAUGCACUCAUUUCUUGCAAGAACACCCGAAGAAAUGCAUCGAGAAGUUGAUUCUCUGGGUGGGUCGGGUCGGAUUACAUUGGAUAUCACAAUGCCAUUCGUCCUGGAACUUCCAUCAAACACAUGGUGUGCAAGGGAAGCUCGUCGAACGCGAUGAACUCCGUCGCCGUCAGUGCGCUAAACACCAUAGCUGCACCGCCGCUAGCGACACGGAACCACCAAAAUAGUGGGUCAUUUGAGCUUUGCUCAAAUCCUGGAGUUGCGAAAAGAACAUCGCAUCUUGAUAAGAAAGCCUGGACAAAAGUAGCAUAACCCGGAAGCUUGCCUUCGUGGAGGUUCUCGUCGAAGUUGGCGGUGGAGGUGAGACCGCUGAGGGGGCUGACCGCCGACGGGCGCGUUCGGUUGCGGCGGCGGUGCGCGGCGGAGAGGAGCAAGCUCGACGUCGACGGCCGGACUAGGUGCUGUGCUUGUUUUAACGUAUAUAUGUUUUUCGACAUUAAUAAGAUAGGAUGAAAACCCGGAACUUUUUUUUUUGUGCGAUUCAUCUAAAAUAAAAGGUUUUUUUUUUAUUCGAACUGGUUUUUUUCUGUUAAGAUAAUAACGGAAAGGGAAAAACAUAAAAAAAUUUAAAUUAUUGCACAUUUACCAUAAUUUUUUUAUGAUGUCAAAAAUCAUAUAUUAUUCUCAUUGAGACACAUUUAUUUUCCAUUACAGUUUCAUUCAAAAAAGCUAAUGUAAAUUGAACACGACACUUUAAGGUUACGUUUAGCAGUUGAAAUAAAAUUCAUAAUAAAAUAAAUUUUAUCUUUUCCUGCAUUUGGUGCCUACUUAAAAUAGAAUAAAAUCGGAUAUAAAAAAAUAUAUAAUCCUAAUAAAAUUAUCCCAUAGGGAAGUGAAAAUGUGAAUAAGAUAUCUAAAUCUAUAAUAAGAAAGUUAUUUUUUUCAAACAAUAAACUUUUUUUUUUUUAUGCUGGAGGAACCGCUUUGGCCGACAGCCGCCACGUAAACCCCCAGGUGUCGCUAGCGGGGAAACCACCACCCCGACGCCACGCUUAAGUCACCACAUAGCGCUUCAGCCUCCUUGCUUCGCAGGGGCUUCGAAUCUUGGCCUCCACCGGGGAGAGCAAAGGAUCUACCCUCUACGCUGCAACGGUCGGUGGUUUAAACAAUAAACUUCUUAAAUUAAGAAAAUUAAAAUUGUAUUUUAAUAUAAUUAAUAUUUGAAUUCUAAUAUAAUAAAUUCAAGAUAAUUAAAAAUAACAAUUUAGUUAUUUUGAUUUAAUCUUAAAUUUUAUUUAUAUUUGAAUUUAAUUCUAUUUUAUAAUAUAAAUUCAACAUAUAAAUUUAAAUAUAUACUCAUAUUUAUUUCAUAUUUUAGUUUUCUUAAUAUUUUAGCUAUAUUAAUACAAUUUAUUGUUUAAUAAACUUUUAUUGGAGAAUGAUGGAAGGAGAAGAAAAAAAUAAAAAAAUUAAUUAAUUAGAAAGGUAAAGGAAAAUAAAAUAAAAAUAAGGUAGGCUGUUGUGAAAGAUUUUUACUAUUUUUAUUUAUAAAUUUUUUUGUUUAUUUAUACUAAUAAUAAUAUAUCUUAUAUGAUAUGAAUAUAUCCGACUUUAAUGGCCAAAUAAUAGAUAUAACAUAAUUAAAUUAUAUCAUUUCCAGUUACUAAAAAUUUGAACGAUCAAAUGUAACUUUAGGGACAAGUGGGUCCAAUGAGGCCAUACAUGAGCGCCACAUUAGAAAAAGAAAAAUUGCACCGCCCAUGGUCUUCCUCUCGAGGAAGAGCAGUACGAAGUUUCAAGAAUGUCAAGCUUGAGCGGCUGCCAUGGCCUCUCCACCUCGAAGCUUGGCUUGUCUGACCUUGACCUUCGAAACUCACAACCGCCAUGACCGCUCUAGCUAGAAUAUUGGCUUACUUAAGGUCUAAUUUAGUCCUUCAAAGCUAGCGGUAGUCGCCAGUUGCCAUGGCCAAGCUUCGAAUUCCGCAGUGGUCCCCAGCCACCAUGCAGCUGAGCUCGCCACUGCCAUGACGCUCUAGCUCAAAUCUGGCUGAGGUAUGACUGACUUGAAGCUCGCGAGUAUCGCAGGCAGCCAAGGCCAAGUUUCGAAGCAGCUUGAAGAUCGAGCUUCGAAGCUCACAGCCGCCAUGGCCGCUCAAGCUCAAAGCUUGGCUUGAUUGUCUGUCCUCCAUCUUCAAACCUCAUGAAUGGUCGGGCAACCGCCAUUGAGCACCAUCGGAGGAGUUUGGCCAAGCGACUGAAGACGGUGAACGCGGGGAAUGGUACUUUGCAAAGUAUUGGGGAAGACGAUGACUAGUGCAAUUUUUUUCUUUUUAGUUUUUAAUUUUUUUAAAAUGUGGCACCACAUUGUCGCCAGCCCUGUGCCACAUUUCGCCAGCCCUUGGCCAGGCCUGGCAACCCUGGCCGACUCUUCCCCCACCGUCACCGGCACUUCCCGGCGACGGCAAGGAGGUUGCAGCAAUGAGGCUACGACGUUGUUUUGCAAUUGUAUCACCAAAGAAUCGCCACGUCAACAAUUUGGUCGGAUUUUCUUGCCGUUAACUCUGAUUUUGACACUUAAGUAUCACUUUCCUAACUUUUAAUACUUAAAUAUUCUUCCGUAUCAAGUUUUGACACUGUAGAUAUCCAGCACUCAUAGCUUGUGCUUUUGAAUUACUAUGUUCUUCGUACUUGAAAGGACAGACAUCUCUUUUCACAACAGCAUAUUUGAUUAAACGCUCCUUUUCACAAUUUUAGAAGUAACUAGCACUAUUUUUUUUCUUUUUGAAGAAUGAAUGUAGGCAACUCUCGUCAAAACAGUGAGUUUGAAUGGACACAUAUUUUGCAUUCUAACAGUAAUUUAGACGGUGUUUGUUUUGUGAAUAGCAUCUUCAUUAGGUGAUUUGCAUUUUCCUCUUCUUAUUGAAAACUGUAUACAUUGCACAACCACAUUGAUAUCAUCGGAAAAGUUCAUUUUCUUGAUAAAGACGAAGCAAACACCUCAAACCUUUGAAGUCACAAUACCUACUGACAACUGAAAACUUUGCAGACCGCUUAUAGACAUAGACAAUAUAUAUCAGUGACUAUUAAUUUCGCCAUGGAAUCAGUAACUUUUUAUGAUGAAAAGUAAUUUUCCACCUAUUAAAAUUAGUAACUUCACCAUGUUAAUCAUCACUUUUUACAUAUAGGUGAAGUUUGAGCAUAAUGGCGACCAAUAAUUUCUUGAUGUAGUCAGUAAUUUCUAAUUUUGAAAGCUGCUUAUCCAUGCGAUUAAUGAAAAUCACAAAAGGGACUUUGGAUAUAUCAAUGAUAAGUUACAUCCAUACGUGCUUAGUGCUUGCCAAAAACAAGUGAUUAACAACUUUCCCGAAAUGCUAAAAAAGGAUAAUUUAAGCAAUGAACUCCAGAAAUAGCAGUGCUGGAGAAUAUGCAUUUGCAAGUUGUACCUCUAAAGAAACCCAAUACACACGAGCUAUUUUAUUGGAAUCGAGUGAGACUGAUACUGAAGCAUUCUUCAACAAUCUUGCUACGCGCACCGACCACCGAUACAUUUCCUUGGAUUGCCGCACACUAAGAGGCUGAAUUCGAAAGCCGCACAUCCUAAUUCAUCCACCAGAGCAAACAUAUUUCUAGGAACCGAGAGCAAUUCCAGACGUCCAAGUACUUCCCUGUCAAGCUGCAGAAACCAAGCUAAAAGAUUGAAAUUCGUACAAGAAACAAGAAAGAAGAAGAAGCAAGGCGUUUUAUUUUGGAUUUUAUAGCACCAAAAUAGAGUUCUAGUAUCUUACCCAAAAAAAAAAUAGAGUUCUAGUAACCUGACAGUACUCGAGAAUGUGCGUUCACAUUGCAGGCCUCAUGCUACUUUAAAUUAUGUACAAAUAAGAACGGUGGAAACUGACAACUAUCAUCUUUAAAGAACGAACUUCAGUUAUGUGUUUUACCAGUACGUUUGCAUUUGCAUAAACAAUACAGAAUGUAUAGCAAUGAGAGAAGAGAAAAGUUCUAAUAAAAUUUAUGCUAUAAACCCGUUGUUCAUUUUUGUCCGUGUAAGCCCCUUGCGAAGAGUUUCUCUCUAAUCUUUUGCAGCUGAUUUGCAGCUCCGCUCAUGCUCAUCCGUCUUCCAGGCAUUUCAUCGGAGCAAGUGACUCCAAUAUUAUAUACUGUAACCAAGCACUCUUGAAAUAUGCCAUCGCUUUCGGAGAGCCAAUGCCGAUGGCUAUUGGUGCUUAAAUGAUUCUCUCUUUCUUGAAGUAGAAUGUGAUCCGUAAUUUCCAUCACUUGUUUAGGUAAAGCUUCAGCCACAAAACUAUGAAGAGUCAAAUUGUCUCUAAAUAUGUCAUCGGUGUGACUCAACCCUGUGAACAUCUCCAAUAAGAGAAUGCCAUAACUAUAGAUAUCACCUUCUCUUGAAACCUCACAUCCCAUUGCAUAUUCUGUGACAAAUGUAGAUCAUAGUGUGGGUGAAAUUUGAAGUACGGAUCACUAAAGCAGAAUGUAAUGGGCAUAAGAGGUAUCAUGCAGCUACCAAACUCGCAAAGUGACCCAUCAACAUCUUUUUUACUUAAAUAAACUUUUUUUUUCUGAAUGAGAGAAUUACCUGGUGGAGCAUAACCAAUUGUUCCUCUUAUGCCCAUUGAGCUCAUUUGACUAGCUACGGUAUCAAUGGAUGAUCCAAGGAGGAACUUUGCCAAUCCAAAGUCACCAACAUGGGCAACCAUGUCAGCAUCUAAAAGGAUAUUGCCAGGCUUUAGAUCACAAUGAACAAUGGGGAUGUGGCACUGGUGAUGAAGAUAAUCCAAUGCAGAAGCAACACCAAUAGCAACAUUUAUCCUAUGAAAGAAAUUCAAUUCCUGGGUAGGUUCGUUCCCGUGAGAUAGUGUUGGGUUGGGGUGUAGCCACCUUUCUAGGCUUCCCUUUUCCAUGUACUCAUAAACUAAGGCCUUAAAAUCAUUUUGCUGAUAAUCAAUACCCGAGCAAAUUGUCAAUAUCUUUAGAAGAUUUCGAUGUCUGAUGUUCUUUAAUGCCUCGCACUCCGCCGUGAAGCUCUUUAGAGCACCACGAUGCACUAAACGAAGCACCUUCACUGCAACGGUUGUACCAUUCUCCUCAAUUAUCCCCUUGUAAACAGAACCAAAGCUUCCAACACCGGUCAAAUUCAUUGAAGAAAAACCAUCAGUUGCUUUUAAGAGUGCUCGAUAAGAUAUGUAUGGCCAUGAAUCCUCCGUGGAAGUUGAAAUCGGUUCUUUUACUUUCUUCUUUAACCAACAAAGAUACAAAAAAACUAGAGUAAGAGUUAUUCCAAGAAUGCCAAAAAUAAUACAAGCCGACGAUACCACUAUAUGGAUUUUUCUUCUCUGGGAGCUUUUGGAGAGACAUUCAGGGAGGUGAAAUGCCGGCAAUCCCCCACAAAGCGCAUCGUUCCCAAUAAUAGAAGUCAAGGUAGCAUUCUUAAAGACUCCUUCACACGGUAGCAUGCCUUCAAAGCUAUUGUAAGACAAAUUCAAAAGUUUCAAGGAACGAAAUAACACCAAGAAUUCUGGAAUCUGACCCGACAAAUUGUUGUGUGAAAGAUCUAGUUCUCCAAUGCCUCCUAACGAUCUGAUCGAUUGAGGAAUGGACCUGUUGAAGAAGUUUCCCCCCAUCCUCAGUAUUGUCAAUCCAGUGCAAUCCCCUAAACUAUUUGGGAUUUCACCUACCAACAUAUUGUCAGAGAUGUCCAACUCGGUCAGAGUUCUCAAGUUCCCUACUUCUAUGGGUAGAACCCCACUCAGACGAUUACGAGACAAGUCCAGAAAGAUUGUUAUUGAUGAGAGACCUAUGAGCUGUGGGGGUAUGGUACUGCUAAGAUUGUUACUAGAAAGAUCAAGCCACUGGAGAGAUUGGCACUUCAAUAGAUGUGAGGGAAUUUGCCCAUAAAAGUUGUUCUGACAAAGACUAAGUCCGAUCAACUUAGUUAGAUUUCCUAAAGAAGUGGGGAUUGUCCCUCUUAGGUUGUUACUGCCUAAGUACAAUUUCGCUAGAUUUUGUAAAUUCCCAAAUAUUUGGGGGGAUCUCGCCUGAAAACUUGUUACAUCUAGACUUAACACUUCUAGGUGACUAGAUUUCCAAUCUCUCGAGAUCUACCAAACAUAGUUCUCAUUACUUUGAUGACUUGAGAGUGGCUCGGAGAAAUUACCUAUGCAUUUGGGUAAUGCCCCACCGAGUCUGUUCUGACCAAUUAUGAAUAACUCUAAUCCAGUGUAGUUUGUCAAUGAGCAUACAAAGCUCAAGUCUUCAGAAUUUCCACCUCCCAGCUCAUUACCCACGAUGGAAAAAUGCGAAAGCUUAGGCAUAUUUCUGAAAGAAGGCACUUUCCCCGAAAGCUUGUUGCCUCCGAAUUCAAUUAUCUCUAGAUUUGUCCAAUUGGACAUUGAGGGAGGAAUUGGUCCCUCAAAUUGGUUUUGGCCAAUGGUAAAACCUUGAAUAUUUGGGAGCGUCAAGCCUAAGUCUACAGGAAGACUCCCCAGCAUUCGGUUAACUGUCAAUUCAAACCAAACUAGAGAAGAGAGACUGAGCAACGAGGACGGAAUUGUGCCAGACAAUCUAUUAUCUGCAAAAGCAAUAACUUGUAAAUUUGUCAAGCGGCCUAGAACUUUGGGAAUGCUCCUGCCCAAGUUAUUUGACAUGAGUUGAAGACCAUGCAGUGAAGAUAAGUUUCCGAAGGAGGAAGGCACAUUCCCAGAGAGUGCAUUUUUAUAAAAGGAUAAAUACCAUAGCUUUGACAAUGAACCGAGUUCUGAGGGAAUUUCUCCGGUUAUUUGGUUGGAGUCAAUGCUAACGACUACUAGUUUUGAGCAACUUGACAUGUUUCUGGGAAUUUCUUCAGCCAGUGAAUUGUUGUCUAGUUGCAACCAACGUAGGCGGCGCAACCGCCCGACUUGCGGGGGGAUUUCUCCAACAAGACUAUUAUUUUGGAGAUUAAUCUUACUCAAGAAGCUUAGAUUUCCCAUAUAAGGAGAGAUGGACCCUAAGAAUCCUAGUGAGUACAAAUUCAAGACCGUGACCCUUUGGUGUCUCAGGCCACACCUAACUCCAUACCAAUGGCAAAAUCCAAUGGUGUCGUUCCACGAGUCAAGCACCAAAUAAGGGUCUUUGACUGCGGCCUUAAAUGCGAGGAGUGCGAGUUUGUCGGUUUCAUUUGUGGUGGAGGAGACUAGGACAAGGCACAAUGCAAGCACAAGACAAAGAAGGAAACAGCAUGAUUGUAAUUGUGCAAAACUAAAGUGUGCAAGCUCCAUAGCUUGAGCAAAAGUGGGUAGAUAUGAAGGGAAGGACCGUAAGAGGAAAUGAGAGAUGUGGGGAGUGCUGAUGCAAAUUGUAAAGAGAUUUAUAAGGAGGGGUGGAGUUUGAUGGAGAGCAUUUUGAAGAGCCUUUAUAGUUUUCCUUUUUCCAUGUCACGGACAAAACCCAAACAAUGGCAAAUGAGUAGCUAUCAAUGAUCAACCACCCAACCUUGGCUCCAGCGCUCAACGCAUUGGAGAAGUUGCACUACUUUUUCCUCUAGAUCAUCACAAGUAAAUGAUGUUGACUUGGUAGCCAGUGUUCCUAACCAUCCAUUGGUUUUUGCUCAGUCACCCAUUAUGAUAAUACAUAGAAAUCAUAGUGAAAAUUAUAUACAGUUGAUCUUUUGAGUUGAGUCCACUUCAAGCUAGAUGACUAUCUUUGUUAUAUUUACUUUUAGGUUGAGCCUGUUGUACAAGUUGGAUCAAUCACUGAACGGUGUUCUCGGGGUUGAAAAUUGGGGGGAAACUCCACUGUUGUAAUAUUGACUACAAGAAUUUGCAUUGCACCCGCUAGAGAAAUUCAAUACAUGGAAGUUACAUGUUAGGAUUGAGUGAGACUGAUUAUAUUGAGGCAUACUGGGAUAAUACCUACUAUGCACAUCGAGCAUGGAUGCAUAUCUUCAAAUUGCCGCAUUCUAGAAGGUUGAAUCUGAAAGUUAUGCUACCUUAUUCACACACCGAAGCAAUGGUAUUGCUUAUAUAUGACCGAACAUGGAUCUAGGUAGAGAGUAAUCCUGACAUCAAUUAUCUUGCGCUACAACUAAGCAACGGAGAGCCACUAUUCCUACUCACAUUAUAGAACCGAAGCUUUUGUUGAAUCAGAUUUCUAAUAGCUCAUUGAUUGCAAUUCCUCUUAAUGACUUUACCAAAAAAAAAAAUUCCUCUUAAUGAGCAUUAUACAAGUCAAAAGAAAAAAAAAGCAAGGGAAUUUUAUUUGGAUUUAUUUUAAAAUAUUGUAACACCAAAAUAGAGUUUUAAGUAAACUGACAGUAGUCAAGAACCGAUGUUCAUCACAGGCUUAUACUAGUUUAAAAUACUUACAAAUACGGAUGGAAAAUGGUAAUCAACUAUUAUCUUCAAGUAAAAGAUCUCCAAUUAUAUAUUUUACUCGUAAAUUUGCAUUUGGGUAAAUAAGACUAAAUAUAUAGCAACUAGAGAAGAUAAAACUUAAUAAAUUUUAUCAUACAAUGUAUGUAAACCCAAUGCAAAGAGUUUUUCCCUAAUUUUUUAUAGCUGAUUUCAGAGAGAGAGAGAGAGAGAGAAAAAAAUUUGGUGAAAAGAUGUGCUUUAACUAAAAUUGAUAUGGAUAUAACCCCGCCUUUGUUGUUAUUCUAUAAAAUUAGAUAUAUGAUUUUAAUUGUUUCUUUAAUAAUAUUUUAUUGUUGUAGAGUUUUAGAAAUUUGCUCAAGUUUAGUAAGUUUUAGUUUAAUAUAUUUGUUGAUAAUUGAUUAUUGUUUGUGAAAAUUAAGAUGUGGGUCUUAUAAUUUAAAUAAGUACUAGAAUUUUGAAGGGCCUUUCUUGUUUUUCCUUUUUUUUUUCUUUUUCAUAUCGCAGAGAAUGCUAAAAACAAUGGUGAAGUGAGUAGCUGUCAACCAUCAACCACCCGACCUUGGCUUUAGCACUCAACACAUUGGAGAAGUUGCACUACUUUUUUCCUCCAUACCAUCACAAGUAAACGAUAUUGACUCGAUAGCCAGUCUUCUUAACCAUCCAUUGGUUUUUUGCUCAGUCACCUGUUAUGACAAUACAUAGAAAUCAUAGUUAAAGUUCUAUACGAUUGAUCUUUUGAGUUGAACUUGCUUCAAGCAGGAUAACUAUCUUGCUUAUAUUUACUUUUAGGUUGAACUCAUUGCACAAGUUGGAUCAAUCACAUCAGUCCAAUCCCACAAUUUUUAAUGGUGUUCUCAAUGUGGAAAAUUAGGGGGAAGCUUGACUAUUGGGAUGUCGACUUCAAGAAUUUGCACCUACACUCACUUGAGAAAUCCAAUACACAUAAGUUACAUGAUUGGGAUUAAGGGAGACUGAGUAUAUUGAGGCAUACUAGAUAACACCUAUUGUGCACAUUGAACAUGGAUGCAUAUCUUCAAAUUGCCGCAUUCUAGAAGGCCGAAUCCAAAGCUAUACCACAUUAUUCACCCGCCAAAGCAAUGGUGUUGCCUGUAUCUAAUUAAACAUGGAUCUAGGAAGAGAGCAAUUCGUAAUAAUCCAAUUAUCUUACACUACAACUAAAUAACGGAGAGCCACUAUUCUGGUCUCAUUACAGAAUGCAAGCUUUCAUUUAAUCAGAUUUCCAAUCGCUCAUUAAUUGCAAUUCGUCUUGAUGAGCAUCAUAGAAGUAAAAAGGAAAAAAUAAGCAAGGGAAUUUUAUUUAUAUUUAUUUUAAAAUAUUGUGGAAAAGUAACAAAAAAGUCAUAAACACAUUGCAUUUAUAUCAAUUUAGUCAUAAACUUUUUUAAUUGGUCAAAUUUCGUCCUAAAUUGAGUACAUCCAAUCAAUUUUGGCUAAAAAUCAUCGACGUGAAUGUCGGCCGUCCUAUGUAGUGCACUCGGCACCGUGUGAACAUUUUUAAUAAUAUUCUAAGAAAAUUUUAAGUUUUUUUGAAACUUUUUAUUUUUUUGGUUUUUUUCCUUCUUUUUUAUUCUUUACUUUUUUUUUUCCUUCUUUUUUAUUCUUUACUUUUUUCUUUCUUUCUUUUUGAGCUGACUGACAGCGAGGGCAAGGAAACCCUUGCUGGAGAAGAGACUUGAGGCUUCAAUCAAGCAAAUGACGCACCUGGUGAGGCGAAAUUGAGCUAGAGCAUUGUGAUUGAAGGCUGAACAAGAAAGGAGAAUAUUCUCUCGGGCAAAUGGAGGUCGAUUCUGCAAGCUGCACCAAAGGAGAUAGCGCGUCGAUCCAGACGAGGAGGAGCGAAGUUGCAAUAGUCGGAGAAGCCAUUAGAGGGUGACAAUACAACAAGUGAGGGAUACAAAACACAGAAAAGCAAAGGCGAGGAGGAGGAGGAGGAGGAGGAGGAGGCCGAACCUAGGAACCGACGGGGAAAAAGAUAAACAAAAAAGAAAAAAAAAAAUAGGACUAGUGACCAAGAAGUCUCUGUCCGCCUACACAAAUUUGGUUUCAGAACAUUAAUUGAUCUUAGAGUUUUUUUGAAUGGCUUCACUAUUUUUGAUAACUGGGAGACAAACCUCGUUACGUAAUUCAGUCUUCCCAAUAAAUUUUGAACUUCUUUGACAGUACAAGGAGGUUUCAAGUCGCAAAAGACUUUCACCUUUGAGGGAUCAAUCUCAAUGCACCUAGUAUUAGCGACAAAUCCGAGAAACUUCCAAACUUUGCCCCAAAUAUGCAUUUGGUGGGGUUAAGCCUCGGCUUGAACUUUCUGAGUCUAUCAACCAACUUUCUCAAGACUUCAACAUGAUCUUCACCUUGUCUUGAUUUGACGAUCAUGUCAUCGACAUAAACUUCAAUUAAUAAAAUAUUUCAAAAAAUAAAAUAUUAUUAAAAAAAGCUCGCCGACACCAACUGGCUACCACAUCGGCCAAUUUUAGCCGGAUGGACUGAUCGGGAAUAGUUGUAAAAAUUUUAGGACUCAAUUGAUAAAAAAAUCAAGUUUAUGACUGAAUUGGCACAUUUACAAUAGGUUUAGGACUUUUUUGGUAAUUUUCCCCACUUCUUUCUGAUCUUCUUAAGUGCAAUCAUUUCAUGGAAAAAAUAAUCACUUGUAUAAACUCAUAAAAAUAAAUGAAUGGAUAUUUUGUCGCCCAUGAUAGGCAUAGAUCAUUGUCAAUAAUGAAAAUUUUCUCUGUUGAUUAAUUUUUCUAAAGAUACAAGCGAUUACUUUCGAAAAAUGUUUUCAAACCACUCAUUAUCCAUAAAACCAACGCUUCUUAAAAUUUAUGGGAUUUGUACCUCUUUGUUCAGGACCAGGUGGUCCAAUCAUAUGUGCAAGUAGCAAAUAGGCAUUGUGGAAUUCAAUGAAUAUGAAUGGCCUUGGCAGGGAUUCUUCAGCCAUCAAGAUUUUUCUCUUUUUUGGUUUCGCCUUAGCUCUUUUUUAACAAAUAAGUAAUGAGAUGAGCCGAAAAGAUGUUUGUAUUUGAAUGCAAAAAAUCUCAACAUAAGUAUAUUAUGGCCCAACAACUCAUGUAGUCAUUAAUGGUAUGUUAUUAGACCUGUAAAUAUAGCAAGUACAAAUAAAAAUUCGAUUCCUCGAUCACAACUGCAGCUUGCUCGAGUAAACUAUAUGUGUAUCGGAGCUUGACUUGGCUAUGUAGUCGAGCUACCUAGCCAAAUUUAGCUUUAGAAUCAAUUGGAGUUUUACCAAUUUACCAGUGAGAUAUUACUAGCAACAUGACUCGCUUUUAUCCUCAAGAAUCCUUUACCUUAAACCCUCCAAAAGUGUGUCCAGUGAUAGACAUAUAUUUUAUUCUAUAUCAUCAUCACAUGUCAGAAAUUUCUCCUUGUAAAAUGGAAGGUGCAGGUCCCCCAAUAACUUUCACAGUUUCUUUUCCCCCGAGAAAAGGCCAUUUCAUUCAACUAACGUCACGAAAGAGAAAAAACAUAUGAGUUCCUAAACAUAAAUUUUUUAUAAAAAUGGAGGUGGUUUGGACAACACAUUAGAUGGGAGAGCUUUUUGACGUUGAGUGUUUGCAAUCCAAUCCGCAACCGGAUUAACCUCUCGGACAAUGGGCUGCUUCUAUCGACUUGGACCGGGCUCGGUCUUUGCUUGCAAUCUUUAAUCACGGCCCAUAGCUUCCACGGGCUUAGGAGAGAGCCCGCAAUAAACUGAACGACUGAGAAGCUAUCACGCCUUUCUUGCAAGUACAGAAGUGCAGUUCUCAUCGCUAAUGCCUCGACACCGACUGCAGAGGAGGCGCACACAAAAUUCGAUCAUGACACGUAAGCAUGAAUCACCGGCUCUUAACAGUCGUGUUACAAUGCACCGUCGAUUUUACAUGCUAGAUUUUUUUCUUUUUAUGUGAACAUAGAGUGGACGAGGCAAGUUUUAAUUUGUGCUCCUUUUUCCAAUCUCUUGAGUUGCGCUGACAAUUGCCUUGGAGCAUGGGAAAAUUUAUUUCAAUGGACAAGAAUAUCUAUAGGUUGGCUUAGUUAUGUGCUCGUUCACACCGGGAAAAGCAGGUGGACGGAUGCACACUGAAGUUAUUUAAAGACAAAAAAUGAUACCAAUAAUCUCUAAAUUUUAGUCUAAUGUAUAAGAUUAUCCUUGGAUUUUUUAACUUUGGAUUUUUUUUUAACCCUUUUGAUGUGUUCCUUAAACUAUUCAUAAGUAUUCAAAAUGAGGGAGAAAGUCCCAAGUCACUGAACCAUAAUGAAAUGUGCAAUCUAGUUCUAUACUAUUGCACAGUGUGCAAUCUAGCCUCCUUAAACUUUCGAUCUAUUCAAUCUAGUCCAUCCAUUUUCAAUAACAAAGGCAAAUCAAUCCUUUGUCAUUAUUCACAAGUUUUCAUAACGAUACUAUUGCCCUGAUUUUAUAAAUUUUCAUCCCAAUUAAUUUCCUAAAUCAACCAAAAAAAUCUAUCCUUUCUUUUUUACUCCUGUGGUUUUUAUUAAUAUUUCAAUGGUUCCAAUUAAAUAUAUAUUAUCUCAUGAUCUAUAUAAUAGUAAAAGUAAAAGUUCGUUUAAAAUUGUAUCGGGUUGGUAUUCUUGCUAUUUUAAGUUUAGAUGUUUUCAUCCAUACAAGCAACGAUAUACAGAUAAAAACUUGUGAAUGGUAUCAAAUGAAUUAUUUGGAUUUGUCAUUAAAAAAAAUUGAGGACUUAAAUUAAACAACUUGAAAGUUUAGGGAUCACAUAUUUGCCACUAAUUUCACGACUAGAUUGUUUAUAAUAUUUAAAGGACUUAUUGUGACUUUCUCCCUUGUUUGAUCGAACAAAGGGACUGAAUUGAAUAUUUUUAGAAAUAGCUAAAAGGACUAUUCGAAUGAAUUAAAAAUUAUAGACAACAUUACACAUUAAGACAAAGUUUGUAUAUUUAAAAAUCACUGAAAUUACCAUAGUGGCUGUGGCCAAGCAACAGUCAUCGCCACUAACUCUAUCCUUAGACCGUAACCUUUAAAGUAUCCACCAGCCAAGCGCAAUUACAAUGUUUUAUCCACGUGCGUAAUUUCAAUUUCUUCAUUUCUUCUACUCAAGACCAGCGAGAGAGUUAGAUUAAAGCCAAAAAACAAGUGUGUUAACUAAAUAUUGUCCAGUAGUCGAACAUGCAUUUUCAUAAAAUAAAAUAAAAUAAAAAUAUGUCAAGUGUCGGUUUUAUCGUCAAUAGCGCAAUUCAAUCCUUGGUAAAAAAAGGGGAUCGCAUCCAUUGCAUACCUUCUACACAGGAAUUAGGAACAUUGCACUCCGGUAGGACUUAGAAUACAUUUCAUUAGGCCAUUCAUCCAUAGGUUGAAAGUUGAUAUUUUCGACCAAAUUGAGAAAGCCUACCUCUGACCGAAAACACCGUCGUUUUAUCAUCCUCAUCAUAUUUUUUCAUUCCAUUUCUUCCGCACACCUAAUUUAGGGACACUAAAGUUUAGAGAUCUCAGGGUCAAUAAUGAAUAAUUGAACUAAGGAAGGGUCGGUAGCUAGUCAACUCCCAAAAUCUAUGGUUGACUUUUAUUUCGGAGCCCAUUUGGGCUUUCUUGGCCCAAAUCGAGCCCAAUAAGCGUGAUUUCACGACAUGCUACCCACCCAGGCCCAGUAUAAGAUUCAAGAAAUACCCUGUUCGCGUGGUAGCAUUCGAUUGUCGUUCUCUCUCCCUUCGCCUAUCGCAGUCCUUAGCUCUAUCGCCCUUGAGGCCUCAUUCCUCCAGUCCGAUCGUCAGUCACGACCAGUAGCUGCUCUUCCUCAAGGUCCCAACUCGUGCUCUGUUUUUCAUGAGGUAAAGACCUAGAGCCUUCGCCUCCGCCGGAGCGAAAAUCGAUCGCAUUCGGAGCUGUUUCGAUGGACUCGGAUUAGCUGUAUUGCCUUUGUUUGGGUCGGGCUGUGAUCCGCUCACAUAUCAAAGUCUUUUUUCGAGCAUACUAGCGCCGCAACGCACAACAAACAACAAACGACCCUAAAGCAGAGAACCGAGGAAGGUUUGGACGAGGGCCGGCGUUCGCGUGAGGCGGCCUGCAGGAGAAGGUAUUUCAUGUACUUAACAGGGGGAGAGUGAUGGCUUGUGUUGUUGGAUUCAAAUUAAGACAGAAAAUCUAGGAUUGUUUCAAUGCCUUGAACCAUAUCCUAUCCUGCAUCUGUGAAGUUCUGGUUAAAUAUUUGGCAAUGGAACUUCACUUGUCUUGAUUAGAUUAUAGAACUUUAAUUCGCGAUGCCGUGAGGUCCAAAUGGCCCAAAUAUUCGCAAUGCCGAUAGCUCGCCGGAUUCUGGCCGGAUUCUGAUUGAAGUGCACCAAUUGCAAAAAUCGUAAAUGAAUUGCAAAUUUUAUGCAUGUACUAAGCAAUUAUAAUCACAAUUUCGUAAAACUGAUCGGGAGGAAAUCACCACAUUCAUGUCGUAGCGCCAAAUGUUCAUGGUCCAUGAAUGGAUGUCACUUAUGAACUAGCCAAACAGCAAGAUUGCUGAACUUGUAAAAGCUCUCUCCCUCUCUCUCUCUCUCUCUCUCUCUCUUGAAGACCAAAAGACAGAACUUAACCCACUAAGAAUCUUUACAAAUUAUAUAUACAGAUGUGAGAAUCGGUAAGUGCAGAUUAUUUGUAGAACUUCUAAUGAACCACCUACUCUGGUCUGAACUUCACCCAUCAGCCGACAAUAAAUGAGGCUGGCUCUUCUGACAUUAAUAGGCAGGACCAACCAACAACCUACAAAUUUUCCCUCAUAUCAAGGAUUAAAAAGUAAGGAGACAUGCAGGAGGAGAGCGAGCUUUGGACAAAUGGGUUUUGGUUCCGACGGUCUUUGAUCACCUUAGGUGAGAAUCAUAUGUUUCCAAGAGAUUAUCUGGUUCGACCAGAGGCAACUUAUCUAUGUACAAGAAGAGCCUCCGAAGAUUCUCCCUGGUCACGGUGAACAUGUCGACUAUGUCCCUGCUGUCCAUGAAUAUCCAAAGGUCGCCCGAGUUUACUCUCUUGAGGUUGUUCCGACAGAACGGGCAGGACUGAGAUCUUGUCCGCCUGUCAUGUCACAAUGAGGCCACGUUAGAGAAUUUUCACACAAACCCUGCAGUUAAUGAAUAGUCCCAGCAAAACCAGAACGGCGACACUAGAGUGAAACAUCAAAGUUGUUCUAGCAUCUGAUCUUUCUUACAUGAUGCGGCCUAAUGAAUCAUAUAACUGGAUAACCUAACUUGACAAUGGACUGUAGUGAAAAAGCAAACAAGAUUAGAGAACCGAGAAGUACUG